AUACGGAGGAUCCGAGCGUUAUCCGGAUUUAUUGGGUUUAAAGGGAGCGUAGGUGGGAUAUUAAGUCAGCUGUGAAAGUUUGGGGCUCAACCUUAAAAUUGCAGUUGAUACUGGUUUCCUUGAGUACGGUACAGGUGGGCGGAAUUCGUGGUGUAGCGGUGAAAUGCUUAGAUAUCACGAAGAACUCCGAUCGCGAAGGCAGCUCACCGGGCCGGAACUGACACUGAUGCUCGAAAGUGCGGGUAUCAAACAGGAUUAGAUACCCUGGUAGUCCGCACAGUAAACGAUGAAUACUCGCUGUUUGCGAUACACGGUAAGCGGCCAAGCGAAAGCAUUAAGUAUUCCACCUGGGGAGUACGCCGGCAACGGUGAAACUCAAAGGAAUUGACGGGG
rnacentral:rRNA from 1 species